rnacentral:rRNA from 1 species
UACGUAGGUGGCGAGCGUUGUCCGGAUUUAUUGGGCGUAAAGGGAACGCAGGCGGUCUUUUAAGUCUGAUGUGAAAGCCUUCGGCUUAACCGAAGUAGUGCAUUGGAAACUGGAAGACUUGAGUGCAGAAGAGGAGAGUGGAACUCCAUGUGUAGCGGUGAAAUGCGUAGAUAUAUGGAAGAACACCAGUGGCGAAAGCGGCUCUCUGGUCUGUAACUGACGCUGAGGUUCGAAAGCGUGGGUAGCAAACAGGAUUAGAUACCCCGGUAGUCACUGACU